UACGUAGGGUGCGAGCGUUAAUCGGAAUUACUGGGCGUAAAGCGUGCGCAGGCGGCUUUGUAAGACAGGUGUGAAAUCCCCGGGCUUAACCUGGGAAUGGCGCUUGUGACUGCAAGGCUCGAGUGCGGCAGAGGGGGGUGGAAUUCCGCGUGUAGCAGUGAAAUGCGUAGAUAUGCGGAGGAACACCGAUGGCGAAGGCAAUCCCCUGGACCUGUACUGACGCUCAUGUACGAAAGCGUGGGGAGCAAACAGG
rnacentral:rRNA from 1 species